GAACGAGCACGCCGCGUGAGUGAGAAGGUUUUCGGAUCGUAAAGCUCUGUUGUAAGAGAAGAACGAGUGUGAGAGUGGAAAGUUCACACUGUGACGGUAUCUUACCAGAAAGGGACGGCUAACUACGUGCCAGCAGCCGCGGUAAUACGUAGGUCCCGAGCGUUAUCCGGAUUUAUUGGGCGUAAAGCGAGCGCAGGCGGUUAGAUAAGUCUGAAGUUAAAGGCUGUGGCUUAACCAUAGUACGCUUUGGAAACUGUUUAACUUGAGUGCAAGAGGGGAGAGUGGAAUUCCAUGUGUAGCGGUGAAAUGCGUAGAUAUAUGGAGGAACACCGGUGGCGAAAGCGGCUCUCUGGCUUGUAACUGACGCUGAGGCUCGAAAGCGUGGGGAGCAAACA
rnacentral:rRNA from 1 species